ACUCUUGAGGAUACUUUCUUGCCACUGUCAGGCUUACUCCUGCCUCCUAGACUGAGGAAAGAAAAGCCUCCUGGUUUGGAGCUCAUAAUCAAGUCAGCCUUGCUGCAGGGCUCAUUUUAAGCCAGUAUCCUGGACCAGAUAAGGAAGCUGAAGCUUUGAGAAUUUAAUUUGCUCAAGGGGAGGCCAGGACAAGAAAUAAUGAAGAGUCCGAUGUGGCAGGAAUGUAGGAAACAAGUCAAUGAUGGAAGAUAAAUAUGGAGACGUGAUGAAGGCAAAAUUCUGAAGGGUCUUAGAGCCCAUUAUAAGACGUUUGGUUUUUAUGACUAUGCCGUGCAAGACUUGGUAAACUGGUCCCUACCGCAGAGGAUUUUAUACAGAGCACGCUAGUGGCUCACAGGUAGUGUCUUAUUGAAUGUUGAAUUUCCACACUUUUGACUGCAUGAAUCAGUAAAUACUUGGGUUUAUUUUGCCACAUAGAGGUCUACAUUGGUUUGAUACAAGUAAAUAGCAAUAAUGAUAAGAGUCACUGCCAUUAAUGGAGUGUCUCCUUGAUACCAGACACUGUCUCAGAUAACUUGAAUUAACUCUUUAAACCCACAUGGCCCUGGUCCUGAAAGGUGGUAUUAUUCAUUUUUAUAGAUGAGGAAACUGAGACACAGGCAACACUACUUCAACAUUGGCCCCAAACCAUUUUUAUUUGCCCUGAGUAAUUUGCUAGUUCUCCUCUUUCAGUAUGCCAGUCUUCUCUAUCCAUUGGUCUAUAGUUGGUUGCAAUUCGUCUUUGUCACCUGUUCCUGACACUGACCAAUUACUGACCAUAUCUCCCUAUUCUCUGCCAUGUGAUAACCUUUGGUUCUCCCAAAUAAACUCUUUCCUUAUCUCUACUCUAUUGAAACCAACCACCCCUCUCUCCACACAGAAUAUUUCACUGAUUGCCUUGCCCGCUUCUCAAAGGCCCACUUCUCUGUGGAAUGAUGCAGUUGCUAAGAAGAGCUGUUAAUGUCAUGACCUCAAUGAAUAAAAAAGACUUCCUUUUCUCCAUGCCCACUCAAGUAAAAGGCUUCUCUCUGAACUCCUGCUAAUUUUUCAUCAGCAAAGGUGCACAGCCUUUUGGAAGUGAAAUGAUUACUAGUGAAGAAAAAGAAAGAACCUAACACUUAUUUUACAGUAAGUAGCAAGUUGAUCUCCAUUAGGGUCAACCCUCUGGGGUGCUCUGGCCCUUCCCUUUAUGUUCUGAGACAGAUACAUCCCUGAGAAAAUUCUAGUCUCUUCUAAUCCUGGAAUAAUUUAGGGAAGCAAGUCUUGAACUUCUUCCAUCAAAGCCCAAGAAGUAACCAUAAAAGAUGUCUUAAGGGUUCUAGAAACACAUCACCAAGGGGAUUGGAUAAAAAUGUGAAAUUUGUUUAAAACCUGAAAUGUUCACUUUUAAAAAGCAUGCAAAUUGUGACUACCCUUCCACAAUGUAUUUGUUUUACUGCAAAAAUAAUUUAAAUGUCUUUCAGAUUAAAUUAUGAAAAUAUUUACCUCCAAAUUUUGGCAUGAAGUUAAAACUCCUGGAUAAUGUGCUAUGUUUAUUCUGUGGGUUUUUAUAUCCCUGGCACACUGCCAUGUAUCUUGCCGAAUAGCCAAAUAUUAGGAUAUUAUACUACCCUGAUGAUUUUGCUAAAUAAUUAUUAUGCCAAACAAGACAGUAAUUCAAAGAAGGACAAGUGUCUGAACUCUUGUUCUUUCAGAAAGCUUAAGAGUAGUAGUGAGUGCAUCUGCUGCGUGACUCCUGCAAUCUCAGCAUCUGUUUCUAGUUAGAGAGCCAGUGAGUAAAUUGAAUCAGGGUCACUGAAGCAGGUGUUCUUGGUGAAUUGCAGAGCCUCCCAGUGACCACUCUUCAGACAAAACUUCUUAUAAUAGCUUCCUUCCCUGAAUCUUUUGCGAAACAUCAAAUCACAAAGAGAUCUUAUUGUGAGUAUUACCUAAAAUUUUUUCCUGUCUUAUGUAGCAAAGAGGGAAGUCACUGAGUCAGCUUAGAUAUGUGUAUGUGUUCUAAAAAAAAUGAAUGUAUCCAUGUGACUUUUUUUUCUUUUUUUUUUUUUUUUGAGAUGGAGUUUUGCUCUGUCACCCAGGCUGGAGUGCAGUGGCGUGAUCUCUGCUCACUGCAACCUCCACCUCCUGGGUUCAAGUGAUUCUCCUGCCUCAGCUUCCCGAGUAGCCUGCCACCACACGUGGUUAAUUUUGUAUUUUUAGUAGAAAUGGGUUUUCACCAUGUUAGCCAGGCUCGUCUCAAAUUUCUAACCUUCAGUGAUCUGCCUACCUUGGCCUCCCAAAGAGCUGGGAUUACAGGAAUGAGCCACCGCACCUGGCCCCAUGUGACUUUAAUAUUUUACUGCAUAUCUUCCUCGGCAAAUAACUAAAUCCUGUCAUGUGGGAGGGAGUUUGGAAAUAGUGCUUAGGAACCACCCACUAUCUCAUUUGUGAAGUCCGUUGCCACUUGCGGGGGGCGCCAGGCAAUGACAUCAACAGACUUAUCUGGUUAUGUCUUUGAGCCUUGGAUCCUUGUAAUUGUUUUGCUUGAUAAAGCUAUCUUUUGUUAUAAAAGACUUUGCCAAAAAAAAGUCUUUGGCUUAAGGCAUUUAAAUAAUGCAAGCUUCAAAGUUAGUGAACAGAUUAUGAAAAAUGUCUGAAUAGUAAUUUGGAAGGCAAUUUGCACAUAUAUUUCUAUCUGGAAGAAUAAUAGUUUGUAAACGAAAUACAUCUUAGGCCAUAAUUAUAAGUGUCAGAACAUGAAAGGAUUGGUGAAUUGGAGAAACAGAAAUUAAAAAUAAAACUUAAAAAAAUAAGUCAGAAUAUCAUAAUGGUACAAAAUAAAUGAGACAAUAGAAACAUAGACAUUUCCCUAAUUCAUAAUGUAGUUAUUUGUUCUGGAGAUUUGUUCAUUAUUGUAAAAACUAGCUACAUUUAAUCGUUUUAAUUGUUGUUAUGAAAAUACUUUGCUUCAUUUAUUUUAAAUAUAUCCUACUAAAAAAAGAGUAUAUAUAAAAACACAUGUACAAUUUAGAACAUAACGUUAAAACAAACACUUACGUAUUUUCCAACCAGCAAAAGGAAAAGAACCUUAAUGGUGAUCUUGUGUAUUUGUGUCCAGAUGCGUUUUUCUCCCUUUACCUGGGGUAACAAUCAUUGCAUAUUUUGUGUUUAUCAAUUCUUUCCUUUAGAAAUGCUUAUCCAUUUGUGUAUUUAUGCCUAAACAAUAGAUGGUUUCAUUUCGCUUGUUUUGAGCUUUAUUAUAUUUGUUUGUAGUCACCAUGGAUGUAACCUUUUUCCACGCAAAAUUAGCUUUCUAAGAAUCAUCCAUGUUGGUGGAUAUAGCUCUGUGAUAUUCCAUCAUGUGAUACUGCAAGUUAUAACUCUAGUUAUAUAUCUAUUUUCCAAUCAAUGAAUAUUUACAUUGAUCCAAAUUUUCAUUAUUAUGCACAGUCUGGCAAGGAAGACUCAUAUAUGACUCCUGGUACAUGGGUACAAGGAUUCUAUAGGCUAUAUACCUAAUCGUGGAAUUGUUGAGUCUCAGAGUAUUCAAAUGUUCAACUUGACACAUUAUCAUGAAACUGUUCUCCAGAGUGGCUUUCCAAUUUACUCUUCCACCAAAAAUGUGUUCCUAUUGAUCUACAUCUUCUCUAGAACAUCUUAUUUUAGGUAAUUUAAUUUUUUCAUUGUUAUGAAAUGGUAUCUCACUGUCUUAUGCAUUUCUCUGGUUAAUAAUGAGAUUGGUCAUAAAUUCAUAUGUUCAUUGUGAAAUGUCUAUUCUUUUGUUGCCCAUUUCAUCUAUUGGGAUGGCUAUCUUCUAACCGAUUUUACAUAGUUCUAGUGGUUGUUUAUGCAUUCUGGAAACCGGUUCUUUAUUAAUCAUAGGUGUGGCAUUAUGGUUCACAUUGUUACUCUCUUGCUAUACUGUGAUGAACAGAAGUUUUUCAUUUUCAUGAAGUAGACUUAUCAACAUUUUCUUAUGUUUUAGAUGUUUAUUUAGAAACCCUUCUCUACAAACAUUCUAAUAUUUUCUUUUAAAAGUUUUGAAGUUUUGACUUUUACAUUUAAAUUAUUAAUCAAAUUAGAAUUAUCUUCCAUAUACAUGUGAGUCCUCAAUUCUUGCUCCAUUAAACAAUUUAUCCUUCCUCGCAUCAGUAUCUUCCCACCUUAAUUGCUAUUGGAUUAUAAUAACUCUUGAUAUUUGGUGUGCCAAAUUCCCCCAACAUAUUAAUCCUUUCGGAUAUUCUAUUCUCAGCCCUUUAUUUUUCCAUAUGAAACUCAGAAUCAUGAAGUUUAUUUAAAAUUCUGCUAGGAUUUUGAUAAAAAUUUCCAUAAAAAACUUUUCAGUUUGACAUUGUUAGGACUGAGUUUUCUUAUCCAUGAAUGUGAAAUAUCUGUGUUAUUUUAUCUGCAAAAUAAAGAUAAAGAAAUAUCUUUAUUAUUGUUUAAUGUUUUUAUGAAAAGUUCAUGAUUUUUUAUCUAGAGGUAUCACACAUCUUUUUUUAGAUAUAUUCUAGGAUACUUUUUAGUUUUGUUGCUUUUGUAAGUGUUGUCAUGUUGGGAGUCUCUGAGAACCUCCUCAAGCUUGAUGACCCACUAGAAGGACUCUCAGGACUUAGAAGUGGUUAUAUUGAUGGUCACAGUUUAUUAUAACAAAAAGACACAGAUAACAAUAAACAAAGAGAAAAGGCACAUGGGGUGAAGUUCAGGAGAAAUAAGGCACAAGCCUUCAGGUAUUCCCCUCCCAGGAGUAAAUAUGCUAACUGAAGCACACAAAAAAAGAAAAGAUAAAUGCAAAAAAGAGCAUAAAAUAUAUAUGACAUAGUUUUAAAAAUGUGUAACAUGCAUGUAAUUGAAGUAUCAGAAAGAAUGGAGACAAGGAAUAGGGGAAGAAGGAAUAUUUGAAGAGAUAAUAACCAAAAACUUUCUAAAACUAACCCACAAAAUCAAGAAAUUCUGAAGAAACUAGAAAAGAUACAUGCAAAAUAAAUCCCAUUUUGGCUCAUAGUGAACUCCUGAAAGCCAAGGACAAGGACCAAUUACUUAAAGCACCCAAAAAAAAACAACAUUGCUUUCAUAAUAGCAAUAAAAGACUAAUAACUGAAUUUUCUACACAAAUGAUGGAAGCUGGAAGAUAUAAAGAUCAUAAGGAUAUAUUCUAUUCCUGGAAUUGAUGUGCCUUGGUCAUAAUGUCUUUUUUAAAAUACAAAGUUGUAAUCAGGUUUCUAAAUAGUUUAAGAUUUUUGCAUCUAAUUGUUUGGAAAGUUCCCCCUUUUUUAUACUCAUAUCUGCAUUAGCUAUCAAGGCUAAAAAUGACUGCUUUAAAAGAGUUAAGGAAAGUUUCCUCUUUGUUAUACCUAUGAAAAAGUUUAUAUACAAUUAAAAUUUGAUGAUAACAUUUGUUAUAUUUUCUUAUAGAACUAUUUGUAUUUGGUGUUCUAUUUAUGAGGAGGCUUUUAAAAUAUUGAUUUGACUUCUUUAGUAGUUGUAGGGCACUGAAGUUUUCUGGUACUCUAACUGCAGCCCACGUAACUUAUCUUAUAUUCUCAUUAUCAUUUAGUUCUAAGUAUUUUUUUACUUUCUAUUAUAAAGUAUUCUUUGACCUAGGAGGUAUUUAGAAGUUUGCUUUUAAACUGUCAAAUGUAUGAAAUUGUCUUAAUUUUCCUUUUAUUACUAAUAGCUACAUUAUUUUCCUUCUUGUGAGAGAAGGUAGUCUGUGGUACUUUUGGAAAUAUUUAAAGACUUUUUGGCCUAGUAUGUGAUAAAUUUGUGAAAAUGUUCCUUGCAUGUCAAAAAGAAUUAUCCAGAAUUAUCCAAUAAUUGGAUAAAUGUUCUUAAUAUGUUUAUUAGGACAUUCAUGUUCAUUGUGUUUACAAUUUCUAUAACAUUGCUAGUUUUGAUCUGCUUUUCAUGUCAAUACCUGAGAUAGGUCUGUUUAAAUUUCUUACUAUAAUGGUAGAUUUGUUACAAUUUCAUUGUAGCCUGUACAUUUUUGCUUUAUAUAUGCUGAAUAAAUGUUAAUAUGUGCCCA